AGGAUAAACGCUGGCGGCGUGCCUAACACAUGCAAGUCGAACGCGCUUACUAUCCGCGAGGAGGGUGAGCGAGUGGCGGACGGGUGAGGAACACGUGGGUGACCUACCUUUCAGUGAGGGAUACCGGCGAGAAAUUGCCGACAAGACCGCAUACGCUUCUCUUUUCAAGGGGGAGAAGGAAAGCUUUUCGCAAGAGAGGCGCUGGGAGAUGGGCCUGCGGCCGAUUAGCUAGCUGGUGGGGUAAUGGCCUACCAGGGCGACGAUCGGUAGCUGGUCUGAGAGGACGAUCAGCCACACUGGGAUUGAGAACGGCCCAGACUCCUACGGGGGGCAGCAGUGAGGAAUUUUCGGCAAUGGGGGCAACCCUGACCGAGCAACGCCGCGUGCAGGACGACGGCCUUCGGGUUGUAACUGCUUUUCUCUGGGACGAGCGAAGGACGGUACGAGAGGAAGAAGCCCCGGCUAACUACGUGCCAGCAGCCGCGGU
rnacentral:rRNA from 1 species